UUGUAAAAUGGCGCCCAGUGAAAUCGGAGUGGAAAAGAAAAGGGAAUGUAUUAAUAGAGACCGUGAGAAAUCCAGCUCUAAAAGAUCACAGAGACAAUUUCUGACUCCAAUGCACAAGAAUAACGCUUCUACGGGCGUGUCCAAACAGUCAAGUUGGUCGGUCUGGGAGAAGAAGGCAGGGAGGGGAGUUAGCUGCAGUUAACGUUACAGUAUCUGGAAUACUGAACUAACAAGUUAUUCUAUCAACCGUAUUAUCUAUUUUGUACUUUCAUUGACAUGCCAUCUUCUAUUUGCUCAAGAGCUGCACAUUAUUUUGUAGGCGGUUAACGUUAGUCAGCACCAGUAACCCACCUUUAACGCUACAGUAGUAACUUAACUAGCUAAUGCAAAUUUGUCAUUUGUUCAUUAUCAAUAAAUAUAUGAACAAUGGUUUAAUUCCGUUAAAUUUGAGGUCGUUUUGUCUGGUGUUCUCCCAAGUUGACCUACCUGCUCGAGCAAAGAAACAAGCAAGACAUUCCAGUCGAGCGCAUGCCCUAACUGUUAGUUGUUGUUCCGAGUGCUGGUGGUGAUUUAAUUCCCAUGACUAGAAAAACACCGAGCUUUUGAGGCAGCCGCUGAAUCCCGACCGCCCAGGCCAUCAAAUAUAACCCUUUAGCUUCUGAUGUCAAACGUUCCUGGAUUCAACCACUGACAAAGUCCCGAGGGGCGUUGAGUUUGCUACGUUGCAUGACGGUUUGUACUUAACAGUGCACACGGUUCUUCAACAGCCUUUGCGGUACGUUUGGUGGGCAUGGCGAGGUGUGACAAUUUAAAAUCGUGCAGCACGGUAAUAUCUUGCAUGUGCAUUUCCCUGUGGAUAUAUUUUUACAUCGACUCUUUUUGGAAUUAGCACAGCAAACAUCUACUUGGAAUAAUUUGUAUUAUUAGCUUUGCUGCAAGGACUUUUAUUUAAACGUUCCCUCCUUUGCAACAGACCAAAUGUUUUGCAACAGAGUUCGACUAAUGAAUACACCCCUGGUCGUAUAGUACCGUUUCCGUUUAAUUCAACGUUGCACACUGUUCUGUCAUACUGAAAGCAACACUUGCUGGACAGGAAUCUAGAUCCUACUAUCUUCAGUGAGUGGACUGCCACAAUAGUUAACAUUUUCCUCAGCAAAUAUUAUUGGUCUAAAACUUUAUUUUCCAUCCAAAACUGAAGCGUUUUCAUUUUUCUUGUGAACCAACAAAAUCUGGCUAGCUGUGUACCACAACCCCAUUUAUGUACAGCCAUUGUAACUUACGCCUUCAUGACAGUAAGUCAUUAACGGCAGGGUUAUGGUACAAUACUAAUUGACAUGCAUCUUGUUUGUCUCUGUCCACACAGACGCCCCUUCCCCAUCACCUUAGAGUAGCGAAUAGCAUGGAGGGCUCGUUUGAGGAGCUAGUGAGGCUGAAGGUCCGCAGUGUCCCCCAGCAUCGGAUGAAGGAGUUCCUGGAGUCCCUGACCAACAAGAACUCGAGGCACUGCAGGAGUUCAACCAGCAGGGCGGUGUUGCCACCACAACCACCACGGUUUACCAGCAAGGGGGGGGGGGUCAACUGCAUCUACACAGACAGCAACGAGGUGGCUAGGUCACUGCUGGAACUGUCCUGGCCGCAACAACAGGUACAGGUGUCCCAGCAGAAGGUGAUGUCAUGACAGCAGCAGCUCUCGCCCCAUAUGACCACAGCCAAUGCCGCAAGGCCAAGACAUAAUACAGGUCGGGGGGCAACAGCAGGACCAGGUGGUUGGGGGCCAGGUGCUGCAGCUGCCCUCAUCUUCCCAUCAACAGCUACAGGGGGUCACCACAGCCCAACUAUUACAGUCUGGGGACAUCACAGAGCAACUGUAACAACAGGCCCAGUUGGUGGCAGGUGGACAGCAGAUCCCAAUCCAGACAGUGGAAGCUCUCUCCCCCACGCAGCAGCAGUAUUCUCCCCAGGGGAGCAUCAUCCAGAUCACCUCCCUGCAGCCAGCCAAGAAGCGUAAGGUGGACAUGCCCAUCAGUGUCCUACGCCCUGCCUGGUCAGCAGCUGGCCACUGUACUAGCCACCCCCAGGGUCAGGGACAGCAGCAGAGCCACAUGUCUCUGAGGACAGACGUGUUGACUGUAGAUCGCAGCCACCGGUACAGCAUUACAGGUACCAUCACCAGCCCCACUGGAGAGACCUGGACCAUCCCUGUCUACUCUUCCCCGCCAGGGUCACGUGGUCAGUGUGGUGUUACACACAUUGCCAACCCCAGGAGGCAUACAGUGCCAUGCAGGUUGCCGGGGGAACUACAGUGUUAAUGGCACACACUACGUCAACGCAAGUUCCUAUUGGCUCGGGUCAUGCGGUUUCCACGCUGAUGGGGUGGUCGGGGGGGGGUCAUGAGGAGGUGUAGUACCAGACGGUGGCGGCCAGCUCUGUUUCCAGCCCAGUUCAUGAACAGGAACAUUCACACCGCGCAGUCACUCAUCUGGGACCCCCAGCAGCAGGUAUUGGACACACAGAGAGGGUUGCAGGUCCAGGACUCACAGCAACUACAGGUAACUUUACUAAGCCGUUAUAGAUUAGAAUUCUAAAAGCCCCAAACAUCUAAACUCAGCAAAAAAAGAAACGUCCCUUUUUCAGGACUCUGUCUUUGUAACGAUCGUCUGGAAGAGGGGACCAAGAUGCAGCGUGGGCAGUCACCAUGAUCCUAACAUUCUGCUCCCACACCAUCCUCCAGAAGUCAGCCAUGGUGCUGCGCAAAUGACCCUGGCUACAGAUUAAGUCUGGCUCUGUACAGCCCCCUGAAGAGCAGACAGCUGACUUGAUGAAUGGAUAUAUGGACAGACAGAUAAACAGACAGAGAGUACUUACAGGGACAUAACUAGCGUUGAUAUAGCUUCACUCAACAGUGGUAAUCUGAAAUCACAGAUCAAUGUGAUCAGAAAAUGGGAAGCAUUACCAAACAUGGGAGAGAUGUGAAGGUUGUGUUCAUGUGUUUAGAUACAGCAGGUUAUAUGGUCAUGGUAAUUACACUCCUAUUACUCAGGGGCAGCAUGUGGUGGUGCUAUGAUAUGGUGUGUGCUAUGAUACUCUCAAGGCAGUAUGUAGGGCUAUCUGUUCUCUCUGUUGGUCUUUCAGGUCUCCAGCCCUGGUAGUGAGUUCUUUACCAUCAUCCAGCUCCUGAAGAAUAAACAGCUAAUGGGACACUAUGAAACAGCCAAAGCAGACACUGCACAAAGACUCCAAAGCACAAUCAUCUACCGUAUGGUGUGAUGGCCUAGAUUAGUGAGUUUGGUUUACCUCAAACCGGAAACCACUGUUGCCCUUGGCAGCGAGUGAUUGAAAUCACAGGUGGAAUUCCUGUAGUAUAUGUGCCCGUGAAAGCACCCUUAUUCUAUGUGGCAAUAUGGCAACAGUCCUCAGCCAAUAAAAAAUGCCUUUUAAACAACUCUUUAAAUUGAGCUCCAAUUUUCCUCAAAGUGGUGUUUUUACAAGUGACUACACCCAUAAUGUUCUUAAUACCAUCAUUCCAUGCUUCUGGGUUGGACUUGAGAAAACAACAAUAGGCUAAAACACUUCACUCACAGCACUCAAUCAGUUACUGUAUAUAAACUACUGAAAGGUUACUUUUCUCUUCCAUAUUUUAGCAGAUGCUCUUAUCCAGAGCAAUUAGGGUUAAGUGCCUUGCACAAGGCACAGCAACAGAUUGUUCACCUAGUUGGCUCAGGGAUUCGAACCUUUCGGUUACUGGCCCAACGCUUUAACCGCUCAGCUACCUGCCACCCAUACCAUUUCACAAAGACUCAAGUUAUUAUAUCCACUCCUUCAGUGACAUUCAGAGUUCCUCACAUCAUGUUUGUUAGGGAUGCAGAGAUUAGGCAAAGCUUCCCCUGGUAACCAAGAACGGAAGUAUAGUGUAGAGGGGGCCAGGCUGGUGAGGUGUUGUUGGGUAGUUUUAAAAGAAAUGUGAUCAGAUGAUCACAAAGCCAAAUCCCCCACCCACCCCUGCUAGCUAAAGAGGAAUUUGGACACACAGUGGCUCUCACACACACACAAGGAUUUGAACACCAACCUAAGAACACUAUAAAAACCUGCACCAACAGGUCUACAACUCAAAACACAGGUAAAGCACAGAGUGAGCAAUCCCAGCCUAGUGUUCCUUAUGUUAGUAUUACCUUUGUAAGUGCUCCUUUGAGUGAGAAAGAGUUUAGAGAGCAACGGGGGCUCUUCCUGUCGAUGUGUUAUGUCCUGUCAAGUUGUCUGUCUCCAAUUAUCCAAGCCACCACAUUUUAUUCUCUCUCAAUUCAAUUCAAAGGGCUUUAUUGGCAUGGGAAACAUGUUUACAUUGCCAAAGCAAGUGAAUAGAUAAAUGAAAGUGAAAUAAACAAUCAAAAAUGAACAGUAAACAUUACACUCACAAAUGUUUCAGAGAAAUAGAGACAUUUCAAAUGUCAUAUUGUGGCUAUGUACAGUGUUAUAACGGUAGUUAAAGUACAAAAGAGAAAAUAAAUAAACAUAAAUAUGGGUUGUAUUUACAAUGGUGUUUGUUUUUCACUGGUUGCCCUUUUCUUGUGGCAACAGGUCACAAAUCAUGCUGCUGUGUUUUCACGUCAUGGUAUUUCAGCCAACAGAUAUGGGAGUUUAUCAAAACUGGAUUUGUUCAAAAAAAAUGUGGGUUUGUGUAAUCUGAGGGAAAAAUGUGUCUCUAAUAUGGGCAUACAUCUGGCAGGUUAGGACGUGCAGCUCACUUUGCACCUCCUUUUGUGGGCAGUGUGCACAUAGCCUGUCUUCUCUUGAGAGCCAGGUCUGCCUUCAGCAGCAUCUCAAUAGCAAGGCUAUGCUCUCUCUCGCUCUCUGAAAAGUGGGAGGGAGAGAGGGAUGGGUGGAGACGGAGACCAAAGGGGCGGAAAGAAAUAAGCAAAUAAGUAAGGAAUGUGUCUGUGGAUAAUGUGUUUAUUUGCUAUUAAUGAAGAUUUGUUUGAAUGCUGCCACACGUUGCUCAUGAAUGGCACCUAUAAAAUGUAGUAAUACACAGCUGUGUACCUUAAAACCUUAGGUAACCUGGCCAGCUGCAUACCACCAUGCAUCCUACUGCUGGCUUGCCUCUGAAACUAACCAGGGUUGGUCCUGGUUGGUCCCUGGAUGGGAGACCAGAUGAUGCAGGUAGUGGUGUUGGAGGGCAAGUAGGAGGCCCUGUUUCCUCUGGUCUAAAAAAAUAAUAUCCCAGGGCAGUGAUUGGGGCUAUGGCCCUGUGUAGGGUGUUGUCUUUGGAUGGGAUGUUAAAUGGGUGUCCUGACUCUAAAGUCACUAAAGAUCCUAUGGCACUUAUUGUAGGGGUGGUAACCCUGGUGUCCUGGCUACAUUCUCGGUUCUCAGUCAACUUACCUGGUAAUUUAAGGGUUACUUUUUUAUCACUUCAAUCAAGAGAGGACAGAU